GCAACGCGAAAACCUUACCUACCCUUGACAUGUCCGGAAUCCCGAAGAGAUUUGGGAGUGCUCGCAAGAGAACCGGAACACAGGUGCUGCAUGGCUGUCGUCAGCUCGUGUCGUGAGAUGUUGGGUUAAGUCCCGCAACGAGCGCAACCCUUGUCAUUAGUUGCCAUCAUUUGGUUGGGCACUCUAAUGAGACUGCCGGUGACAAACCGGAGGAAGGUGGGGAUGACGUCAAGUCCUCAUGGCCCUUAUGGGUAGGGCUUCACACGUCAUACAAUGGUCGGUACAGAGGGUUGCCAACCCGCGAGGGGGAGCUAAUCCCACAAAGCCGAUCGUAGUCCGGAUCGCAGUCUGCAACUCGACUGCGUGAAGUCGGAAUCGCUAGUAAUCGUGGAUCAGCAUGUCACGGUGAAUACGUUCCCGGGUCUU
rnacentral:rRNA from 1 species